rnacentral:rRNA from 1 species
AUUGAACGCUGGCGGCAUGCCUAACACAUGCAAGUCGAACGGCAGCAUGGCUAAGACUUGUCUUAGCUGAUGGCGAGUGGCGGACGGGUGAGUAACGCGUGGGUAUAUGUCCUGAAGAUUGGGAUAACUUGUGGAAACGCAAGCUAAUACCGAAUGAGUUCUGAGGAAGAAAGCUGGGGACUUGGCGACAGGCCUGGCGCUUUAGGAGUAGCCUGCGUCCGAUUAGCUAGUUGGUAGGGUAAGAGCCUACCAAGGCGACGAUCGGUAGCUGGUCUGAGAGGACGAACAGCCACACUGGGACUGAGACACGGCCCAGACUCCUACGGGAGGCAGCAGUGGGGAAUAUUGGACAAUGGGGGAACCCGUGAUCAGCAAUGCCGCGUGUGUGAAGAAG